rnacentral:lncRNA from 1 species
UGUACUGACAGUUCAUAUCGUACAAAGGCGAAUCUUCAAUUUUUAAAAUGAGAUCAUAAGUUUGUUUUUUAAUUGUACUUGGGACCCCUAGGCACGAUACCUACAAUGCUUCAAUCCUAUCAACGUUAGUAAACCAAUCCAGUGGUUAAGUUAUGGCAUCUUCACUUUUUGAGGUAAUUUGAGUUGUGGACGCGCUGUGACAGUUAUAUAAACAAGUACUAACCUCUGUGGUUUCAUUUACUUGAAGAAAGGUCAAGGCAAGCGAUAGAAAAUUUUAACAGGAAGUUAUCCGAAAAAGUUAGAAAUUAAAAUUCUAGGAGAGCAUAGAUGUUUUAAAGUUAUGCUUCUUCCGAGAGUUCUUUUCCCGCUUAUUUUUUUCCGUCUAGUUUCACUUCGUGAAAGAUUUUUGCUUGUCCACAAAAGCCAACUAUCUAAUGAACAUAUGUAGACAAACAUCGUGAAAAAAGUGACCUCUGUUAAAAUUUUAUCACGGCCUGCCUUGUAGACUUUUCAAUUCGGGCAAUUUGAAACUGUAUGAUACUAGCAAACUUUAAUACGAAAUUUCGCCAAUAGUCAUUUUUCUGGCGUGAAAGAAUUUUGUUGGGUUUCAUGAUGACGUCAAAUCGCACGAUUCGAACACGCUCGCCUGCACGCUUGCCAAAUUUGAACUUUGUUCGCUGAAUCAGAGAGUGAAUUAAACCUUUGUCCUCACUGUUGCUGUUUUAGUUGGACGAAUUCGCGUUGUUGUAAUUACGUUCUUGCGAAAUGUCGUCUUAAUGAACCAAUUUUUAAGCUCAUUAUGGUCCAAACAUUACAAAUGUUGCUUCUUGAAGCCCUGGAAAUGCUGUUUUAAUUGACAUGUGUGGUCAUAGCGCCCCGGUUGGUUACGGCAGUUGUCAACCUUUGAUCUUCAGGCAGGUUUUUACAUGUAUAAUGCUCGCUACCACACGAAGGAAAAAAAACUAAAGGACGGGACCCAAGCUCCAAACUGAAAACGUGCAUCAUGAUUGGCUAGGGUGACUUACGGCAGGCAGUUAGGGUGUAGUGAAGGAAACAGCUCAACGCGACUGCUGCUACUUUAAUGGACGCCAUCACUUGAAAUCCAAUUAUGGUAGAAGAAAAUCUAUAUCAACAAAGAAAGAAGGAACGAGACGGCCACACGCUGAAACGCAGCAAUUUUACCCUCUGGGGACUCCUUGCGACACGACGAGCAAAGGAAGAAUAAGCUCUGAGAUGUUCGUGCCCUAAUGCAGGUGAACUUUGUCCCAUCGCUCCUUGGGGUGGAAGUAUAUGUAUGCGUGGCACCUGACAGACAGUAGGCAACCUGUAGAAAAGGAUUAAAGCAAAAAGAUGAGCCUGGCCGCAGAGAGUAAUGUCCACUUUCAUUCUUUAGCAAACCUAUGUGUUAAUGGGCCAUUUUAUUUUCUGAUACAUUUCGAGGAUGUGACCCGAAGACGGAGUGGAAAAUUCAAGAGCAAAAGGAAGGAAUACGAAAUCUUAACGUGCCCAUGUCAACGAAAGCAAAAAUUAUUUUCCCAAGGUUAAAUGUCGCCUUCGUGAUUAUCACGACGACGCUUAUAUUCCAAAUCCUAACUGUCAGAGAACAUGAAUGCACAAAAGCUUCCAUGUCAAAAAUCAUAUAUAUAGAUAUCAAUUAUUCCUCUCAGGUUAGUUCAUUAAGGCUAAACCUGAUGAUCGCAAUGAGAAAAGAGAAAUUCACUGACAGCGUUGUUUUCCGCAGAACCAUUAUUUUAUUACUUACUCAUUUUUAAAAAUGAUCCUUUUUUUAACUUGAUUCAUGUUAUGUGAUCUGUGUACUCCCGAUAAGAUUCUCCUCAUCCUUCUAUUUUGGCUACUUGCCGUAACGUUACGUGAUCAAUCAAGCUGUAAUUCAACUUUUGGGCACGCAACCAUUUUAGAGAGCAGAUGCCUGUGAGCUAUCAAAAUUUACUCUCAUAAAACAAGACCAAAACAGCAGCUCACACAAAAUAUUACUUUCCACGUGGCAGAAUCAAUUUUCGCAUAAAGGUGCGUUGUAGAAUGAUUUCCUUUUGAUAGUCCAUGGAGCCUUUCAAGACAAAACCAAUUUUUAUAUAUCACUUAAACAAGACAGAGGUGCUCUCAAAUAUACAAGAGAAUAGAUGUUCAGACGAAAUUACUAAAAGAAGGAAUGGCCUAAAACCACCUACAACCAUCUAAAACCACCUACAACCACCACCUAAA